CGGGAUGUGGCGCAGCUUGGUAGCGCAUCUGCUUUGGGAGCAGAGGGUCGCAGGUUCAAAUCCUGUCAUCCCGACCG
rnacentral:tRNA from 1 species